rnacentral:tRNA from 2 species
GCGCCUAUGGUGAAAUGGGAUAUCACACGAGAUUCCGGUUCUCGCGUUGUGGGUUCGAAUCCUGCUAGGCGCGUCA